rnacentral:tRNA from 1 species
AUGUAGCUCAGUGGUAGAGCAUUUGUUUAGCAUGUGUAAGGCCCUGGGUUCAAUCUCCAGCAU